UUCACUUUCACUUUCAUCUAGGGCUUGACAGUCAAAAAAACCGCAGUCGACGGAGGACCCAUCUGUGCAGUCGACGGAGGACCCAUCUGCACGCCGGCGACGAAGGACCCAUCUGCACGCCGGCGCCGAUCUGUGUUCUCCGGCGGCGGUUUCACAGAUCUGUGCAAGUGCUGAUCUGUGCAAGUGUCGAAAGUUCAAGGUUCGAAAUUUUCUUUCACCGAUCUGCACGGCGGCGGUUUUAGCGAUCUGAAAAAAUUGGUCUUCUUCGGCAUUCAGGAGGCGGCGGUGGAGGAAUUCCGAUAAAUCCAGGAGGCGGCGGCGUUAAGGAGGCGGCGGCGGCUGAGGCGUCCGAUUAUUCCAAGGAGGA
rnacentral:lncRNA from 1 species